rnacentral:rRNA from 1 species
AAUCAACGCUGGCGGCGUGCCUAACACAUGCAAGUCGAACGAGAAAGUGGAGCAAUCCAUGAGUAAAGUGGCGACCGGGUGAGUAACACGUGACUAACCUACCCUACAGUGGGGGAUAACUCCGGGAAACCGGGGCUAAUACCGCAUAACAUCGUAAGAUCAAAGGAGCAAUUCGCUGAAGGAGGGGGUCGCGGCUGAUUAGUUAGUUGGUGAGGUAACGGCUCACCAAGACGAAGAUCAGUAGCCGGCCUGAGAGGGCGCACGGCCACA